UACGUAGGCAGCGAGCGUUGUUCGGAAUUACUGGGCGUAAAGAGUGUGUAGGCGGUGUUCCCAGUCUGUUGUGAAAUCUCCCGGCUUAACUGGGAGGGUGCAGCGGAAACUAGAAUGCUAGAGGGUGGGAGAGGUAAGCGGAAUUCCUGGUGUAGCGGUGAAAUGCGUAGAUAUCAGGAGGAACACCUGUGGUGUAGACAGCUUACUGGACCACUCUGACGCUGAGACACGAAAGCGUGGGUAGCAAACAGG
rnacentral:rRNA from 1 species